GACGAACGCUGGCGGCAGGCUUAACACAUGCAAGUCGAACGGGUGCAGCAAUGCAUCAGUGGCAGACGGGUGAGUAACACGUGGGAACCUUCCUAGGGGCACGGAACAACUCAGGGAAACUUGAGCUAAUACCGUAUACGUCCGUGAGGAGAAAGAUUUAUCGCCCUUAGACGGGCCCGCGUCGGAUUAGCUAGUUGGUGGGGUAACGGCCUACCAAGGCGACGAUCCGUAGCUGAUCUUAGAGGAUGAUCAGCCACACUGGGACUGAGACCCGGCCCAGACUCCUACGGGAGGCAGCAGUGGGGAAUCUUGGACAAUGGGCGCAAGCCUGACCCAGCCAUGCCGCGUGAGUGAAGAAGGUCUUCGGAUUGUAAAGCUCUUUUGCCAGGGACGAUAAUGACGGUACCUGGAGAAUAAGCCCCGGCAAACUUCGUGCCAGCCGCCGCGGUAA
rnacentral:rRNA from 1 species